GACGAACGCUGGCGGCGCGCUUAACACAUGCAAGUCGAGCGGGAACCGGGCCUUCGGGCCCGGGGACAGCGGCGAACGGGUGAGCAACACGUGGGUAAUCUGCCCUCGGUACUGGGAUAGCCCGGGGAAACCCGGAUUAAUACCGGAUAGCCCUUCGAGCCUUCGGGCUCGCAGGCAAAGGUAGCUUCGGCCUCCGACCGAGGAUGAGCCCGCGGCGGAUUAGCUUGUUGGUGGGGUAACGGCCUACCAAGGCGACGAUCCGUAGCUGGUCUGAGAGGACGAUCAGCCACACUGGGACUGAGACACGGCCCAGACUCCUACGGGAGGCAGCAGUGGGGAAUCUUGCCCAAUGGGCGAAAGCCUGAGGCAGCGACGCCGCGUGCGGGAAGAAGGCCCUCGGGUUGUAAACCGCUUUCAGGAGGGACGAAGCCACUCGGGUUAAUAGCCUAGAGGGUGACGGUACCUCCAGAAGAAGCCCCGACUAACUACGUGCCAGCCGCCGCCGUAA
rnacentral:rRNA from 1 species